rnacentral:snRNA from 1 species
UCCUCAGAUUAUUAACUUUAAGA